UCAGAGGGAGGUGGAANUCCGCAUGUAGCAGUGAAAUGCGUAGAUAUGCGGAGGAACACCGAUGGCGAAGGCAGCNUCCUGGGAUAACACUGACGCUCAUGCACGAAAGCGUGGGGGGCAAACAGGAUUAGAUACCCUGGUAGUCCACGCCCUAAACGAUGUCUACUAGUUGUCGGGGAUUAAUUUCCUUGGUAACGCAGCUAACGCGUGAAGUAGACCGCCUGGGGAGUACGGUCGCAAGAUUAAAACUCAAAGGAAUUGACGGGGACCCGCACAAGCGGUGGAUGAUGUGGAUUAAUUCGAUGCAACGCGAAAAACCUUACCUACGCUUGACAUGUCCGGAACCCUGAAGAGAUUUGGGGGUGCUCGAAAGAGAGCCGGAACACAGGUGCUGCAUGGCUGUCGUCAGCUCGUGUCGUGAGAUGUUGGGUUAAGUCCCGCAACGAGCGCAACCCUUAUCAUUAGUUGCUACGCAAGGGCACUCUAAUGAGACUGCCGGUGACAAACCGGAGGAAGGUGGGGAUGACGUCAAGUCCUCAUGGCCCUUAUGUGUAGGGCUUCACACGUCAUACAAUGAUCGGUACAGAGGGUUGCGAAGCCGCGAGGUGGAGCCAAUCCCAAAAAACCGAUCGUAGUCCGGAUUGUAGUCUGC
rnacentral:rRNA from 1 species